CCACUGCUCCUUCUCUCCUUUUUGGAUCCCCACUUUUGAGCAUCUGCCUAGCUCAGUAGUGUCCAUUUUUAAGUUUAUGGAAUCAAAUUGAAUUCACCGAAGGAUUCUGUACUCUCCAGUGGAAAUCAUCAAGAGAAGCCUCCAAAUAGCAAACUCUUCUAAGCAUUGAACUCAAAUGCUUGAUUCGCCUGCCCAGAAAAAGGCCCUGGAAUACCUGACUCCAAUCAGCAGCCAUUUGAAAUGAGCUAUAAACUGCUCCAUGGGUAAAGUUAGGUGGCACUGCCUUAUCAUGUAAUUACUUAAAGUAAAUGCUGCAGGGCAGUGUGAGAACUCUGGACUUGGGGGUGGCCCCAGGAAUCUCUCUCUGUAUCAAGGAAGGAUUUGUUCUCAAACAAGAUAAAGGGAGUCCUGGUGCUAAUUAGCCCUGGGUUCCAGUGAAGCCUUGCUGACAGAAGCCAUGUUGAUUUAGGUAUGAAAUGGAGCAGCUGAUGAGAAGAAAUAUGCAUCAAGUACCAGAAGGAUGGGGAAGAGCAGAAUAAGUUCCAAGAAGAGGAAGUGAGAUAUUCUAAAGGCCUUUCUGCAACAUGACUUUGCCAAUUUACUAUCAAGAGGUGGAGUCUACUUCCCAUCCCCUUGAAUCUUGGAGAUCCUUAUAAUUUGCCUUGUCCAAUAGAAUGCAUCAAAGGUGACGUUGGUGACUUCUGAGACCAGACCUGAGGAGGCCUUGCAGCUUUCCCCCUCAUAGAACACUGCCCUGAAUGUGCCACGUAAGGAAGCUGGCCUCUUUUAGGAUGAGAGGUCACGUGGAGAAGAACAAGAACCUCCAGGUGACAGCCAGCACCAACUUCCAGGCACGUGAGUGAGGCUAUGUGGGACCUUGGAGACCACCUUGGACUCAAGCAGACAGCAGUGAUCUGAGUGAUCCCAGGGAAAGCAGAGGACAGACAGACUCAGCCAGCCCAUAGAACUCUCAGAAAGCAUACAUUAUUUUGCUUGAAACCACUGAAAUUUUAUGUGGUUUGAUAAAUGGCAAAGGCUAACCAAACUAGGAGUUAGACCAGAUGACUUCUCAGGUACCUUCAACUUUAUGAUUUCAAAAUCUUUGUAGAGAACGAGUCAUAAUGGUAACAGAACAAGGUCCCUGGAAGCAUCUACAUUCUACACCACUGCUUUUGCAGAGAAAAAAACCAACCGCUACACAGAGGAGAGAUCUUCCCAAGUUCGUCUCAUAAAAUGCUCACUUGUGUAGCAUAGAUUCUGAUAGGAAGGAAAGCAAAGCGGAAGGAAAGCAAAGCGGAAGCAAAGCCCAGCCCACUGCCCACACCUUCAUGAAGGAUCCACACACAUAUAAGGCUGUGCUUCUGCUCUGUGUCAGAGUCAUGAGCCCUCCUUUCUGAAGAGCAGCAAGUCCAUCACAAGAAAGCCCCAGGAAAUAGCCCACACCACUAGACCAUCAUUCCCUUCAGAAGACCCUGCAUCAUUUUACCCUUGUCUUGGGACCAAAUUUCAAAUGUAAUUAAAGAGUUCAGCUUAACUUUGGAGAACCUCGGGCUUUCUAGCACACAUUCCUGAUAUUCAUUUGGAUUUCCAACAAUGAGUUUAUCCCCUCUAUACCAUAUAUCUUUUCUAUCUGUCUUAGAAAUGAUUACUAUAGCCUGCGUGUGGGCUUUCUGCCGCUUUUAUCUGCAUCUCUGAAAUUACUCAUGAAAAUCCUUCUCCCUGAAGUGUGAGCCAUUACUAACAUGCUGCAUAGUCUGGCAUUGAUUUAGAGCCAACCUGGGAAUUUCGGGGUUGGGCUUGGAUCUAUCUGAAAGGAGUUAAAUGUUUGGGGCAGGGGUGGAGUGCUGUUCCAACAAAAUGGCAAAAGUAAACUUCAAGAUGAGUGUCAGUAGAGAGAAUUAGAAAAGACAAUUAAAUAAAUACCUGGAUGGAAAUUCUGGGUCUGGUGCCAUCAGCAGAGCACACAACACCCAUUUUACACACAUUCUAAAGACGAUUUCAAUAAGCCAUCUGAGAAGAUGAAUCGAAUCAGUUCCAAAUCUUAAGAACAGAUUGGUUGCAAUGCGGCUUCUUGCAAGCGGGCCAUUAAAUCAACUUUAAAAUAUCCAACGGUUUCUCCUGUCAUCGCCAAGCGAAAAGGUGGAGGAAAAAAAUCAGCCAAAGGAAUGACAUUCAGAUGUUGAAAGGGUGAAACCUGAGGAGCACCACCAAACCUUUGCUAAAAAACAACAAGAAGCUAGUGUUGAAAAUGAAGACACAAAGGAAAACGUUCUCCAAGGCUUAACACAAGGUCUGUGCCCACACUUGCUGACUGGCAUCGAUGAUUUGCCUAAGAAAACAUAGUAGCUGUACUCCCUCUAGCCCCUUCUCACCUGUGGUUCUAACUCCAAGUGACAAGGGAGAAGCUGGAGGGGGAAUGAUGGCCUGGACCAUUAUGGUGUACUGGAACCAGCAGUCAUCUAAACCUCUUGUUUUUUCAAAACCAUCUCUUAACAUACAACACUGUUGACACUCCCAGCACUGGAGACAGAUUUACUGGUCCAGGGGAUCCUGUGCACACCAAAGUUGAUACCACUGGUGAGAGUAAAUAUCAGCAUCCUCAAUGGCUCCAAGCAUAUAGCUUUCAGAGCUAAGAGGAUUUAGUCCCAGGAUAAAUUAUGUGAUUAUAACCAAGGUCAGAAUUAUGGGGAAGGCACCAGAAUAAGAAUAAGACUCAGAGAUCAGCCCAGUUGCACUAAUAACUGCCUGGGGAAACACGAACAUCAUUUAACUACUCUGGCCUCAGUUUCCUGUCCCUGAAAUGAGAUGGUUAAACUAGAUAACUUCUCCAAAGUCCCUUACAGAUCUACCGAGAUGGAAAAAACACCACACACCCACCGCAAACCUCCUUUGCUCUGCUGUGUAUUAGCUGUGGGAUCGUAACCAGGCUGAUUAACUCCAAGCCCUCAAUUUCCCAUCAGCAAAAUCAUGGAGUUCUGAGGAUAAAAUGAAUUAAAAUUUAAAUUUAAAAAUUAAAAUUAAAGUCAUGCCCAUGAAAGAUACAUGAAAACACAUGGACACCAACUUCUUAAUAUUUCUUUUCUUAGAACAAGAAAGAGUGACAGUGAAAUCUCAUUUAGAAAUUAAUAUCUCUUAACAGUGAUAUUAAUUUUCUCCAUUUCUUUGUAUCCUGCUAACUUUAAAUAAAAUGAAAAUUCUUUAAUGUUAAAUCGUCCUUGGGUAGUAGUAUGAGGGGGAGUGUUUUUUAUUUCUUUUCUAUACUAUUUUGUAGUCUCCAAAUAUUCUAACAUAAACUUUGAUUACUUUUUUAAAAAUUUAUUUAUUAUGCUUUACGUUCUGGGGUACAUGUGCAGAACGUGCAGGUUUGUUACACAGGUUUGUUACAAGCCACAGGUGCCAUGGUGGUUUGCUGUAUCCAUCACCCCAUCAUCUGCAUUAGGUAUUUUUUAUAAUGCUAUCCCUCCCCAAUCCCCCACCCCCUGCUAUCCCUCCCCUAGCCUCCCACCCCGCAACAGGCCCUGGUGUGUGAUGUUCCCCUCCCUGUGUCCAUGUGUUCUCAUUGUUCAACACCCACUUAUGAGUGAGAACAUGCAGUAUUUGGCUUUCUGUUCUUGUGUCAGUUUGCUUAGAAUGGGAAUGUUAUUUUUUAAAGUAUACAUUGUCUGGCAUUAUUCAGCCAAACCUAUGCACCAUUUGCUUCAUCCAUCAAACUGAAGACAUCUCUUCAGGAGCCAGGAAACUGCCAAUAUAAAAGGGAGGGUCCCUUCCCUGGGGACCUCAUAGCUUAUGAAAGAGAGAAGAUACACAGAUAAAACGAACUGAGAUACAUUUAACACCAGACAGAAUUUUCAGAAUAAAUAAACUUAGAACAAGGGAAGGACCUAAGAUUUGGGAUUUCUUUGUCACUGUAUCACCUCUAGCCUACGUUCAUUAAUUUUACAACAUGAACUAAGAGUCAACCACCUGCCAGGCACUGACACAGACUGUAGGAGUGCAAUGGUGAGUAAGAUACCCUCCCUUCCCUCAGCAAAGUCACAGGAUAGUAGCAGACACAGAGACAUAAAAAGAAAAUUAAAAAGUUACUUAGGUUUUGCAGUGCUCUUUAAUAUACCUAUUCAUUUAAUCAACAAAAUGUAUUGAGUGGUUUACUGUACUCAGGCACAUACUCAGGCACAGAGGAAUAAAUAAGAAUUGAACCAUGUCCUCAGUGAGGCUUCUAUAAGAAUUGCCAUCCUGGGCACGGUGGCUCACGCCAUAAUCCCAGCACCUUGGGAGGCUGAGGCAGGUGGAUCACGAGGUCAAGAGAUCGAGACCAUCCUGGUCAACAUGGUGAAACCCCAUCUCUACUAAAAAUACAAAAAAUUAGCUGGGCACCAUGGCGCAUGCCUGUAAUCCCAGCUACUCAGGAGGCUGAGGCAGGAGAAUUGCCUGAACCCAGGAGGCGGAGAUUGCGG